GUUGAACGCUGGCGGCAGGCCUAACACAUGCAAGUCGAGCGGAUGAACGGUGCUUGCUCCCGUUUUCCGCUGCCGACGGGCGGGUGAUUCCUAGGUAUCUGCCUUGCAGUUUUGGCUAAGGUCCGUACACGGGCGCUCAUACCGCAUCCGUUCAUAUGUCGAACGUGGGGGAUCUUCGGACCUCCCGCUCUCUGCUGAGCCUAUGAGGGAUUAGCUAGUUGGUGGGGUAAAGGCCUACCAAGGCGACGAUCCGUAGCUGGUCUGAGAGGAUGAUCAGUCACACUGGAACUGAGACACGGUCCAGACUCCUACGGGAGGCAGCAGUGGGGAAUAUUGGACAAUGGGCGAAAGCCUGAUCCAGCCAUGCCGCGUGUGUGAAGAAGGUCUUCGGAUUGUAAAGCACUUUUAGUAGGGAAGAAGAGCAGUAAGUUAAUACCUGGCUGUUUUGACGGUACCAAAAGAAUAAGCACCGGCUAACUUCGUG
rnacentral:rRNA from 1 species